rnacentral:rRNA from 1 species
CCUGAAAGAUGAUCAGGUUGAUAGGUCUGAGGUGGAAGUGUGGCGACACAUGGAGCUGACAGAUACUAAUCGAUCGAGGACUUAACCCA